GCGCCCGUAGCUCAGUCGGAUAGAGCAGGGGCCUCCUAAGCUCCAGGUCGCAGGUUCGAUUCCUGCCGGGCGCA
rnacentral:tRNA from 1 species